rnacentral:rRNA from 1 species
GAUGAACGCUGGCGGCGUGCCUAAUACAUGCAAGUCGAGCGAACAGAUGAGGAGCUUGCUCCUCUGACGUUAGCGGCGGACGGGUGAGUAACACGUGGAUAACCUACCUAUAAGACUGGGAUAACUUCGGGAAACCGGAGCUAAUACCGGAUAAUAUAUUGAACCGCAUGGUUCAAUAGUGAAAGACGGUUUUGCUGUCACUUAUAGAUGGAUCCGCGCCGCAUUAGCUAGUUGGUAAGGUAACGGCUUACCAAGGCAACGAUGCGUAGCCGACCUGAGAGGGUGAUCGGCCACACUGGACCUGAGACACGUUCCAGACUCCUACGGGAGGCAGCAGUAGGGAAUCUUCCGCAAUGGGCGAAAGCCUGACGGAGCAACGCCGCGUGAGUGAUGAAGGUCUUCGGUUCGUAAAACUCUGUUAUUAGGGAAGAACAAAUGUGUAAGUAACUAUGCACGUCUUGACGGUACCUAAUCAGAAGGCCACGGCUAACUACGU